rnacentral:misc_RNA from 1 species
GCAUAAUUAGUCCUGCUAUAAUAAAAAGCAUAUAUUCUAUUUUCUGUCGAAAAUACAUAUUUUGAAACGAAUGGAAAUACAAUUUUCUUGGGUAACAAACAACCUUUUUUAAAUGUAUAACCCAUUUUUUUGGCAAUAAAAUGAUCAUUUGAAAACAUAUUUUACCACGCCAGGAAUAUGAAUAUUAAUGAAAUAAUCAUCCCAAUCAAUGGAUUUUGGAUCGAAGUAGAACAUAUCAGUCUCUAUAUUGUUCUCUCUAGCUGCCAUUCGCAAUUUUUCUGUGUUCAUGUCAUCAAAUACUCCCUGGAAGAACAAGUAUGGCUUGUAAAGUUCCACCAAUCGCAUCACAAAUUUGAUCUUCCGAUUGAGAUCACUAUACAUGCCCUCAAAGUAAUGACAAAAUGCUGUAUUUGCCAAUUCUAGUCCCUUUAGCAAUAGGAAGUAGCGAAGUGCCAUAUAUCUGCGGAAGCUAUUCAUACUGUCCAAGACUUUAACCUUUCCAACCUUGACAGGUUUUCCAUCUUUACCAAUCCAUGGUUUCUUUGUGAAGUAAAUUAACCCGUAAUCUUGAAGAUUUGUGUACCUAAUUGGAUGUCUUACUGAGGAACCCACUUGGUAAAUUAUUGCAUCAUCUGAUGCUUCAUUAACAUGAGCCACCAUUGAUACAAUUAUUGCAUUCACCACCAUAUCAGCUGGUAUCAGAUCAACAAUUCCAUUGACGUCACCAAGGAAGCAUGUUAGUCUUCCUUUGCCAUAACCAACUGCCAAACUAUCAAUUGUUCUAAUUCCUUCAACCCAACCAGGGAAAGGUU